CAACUUAAUUUUCUUUUUUUAUAAUUGAAUAUUUUUAUUAACAAAAUAAAAAAGGGGCAAUUGCUUAUAUACACUUGAAAAGUUUCUAACUUUCUGAUUUAUCCCUCUUAGAAUGCUAAUAUUGAAAAUACCAUUUUUAUGUUCGAACAUAUCUCAAAUAUACUCAUAGAGUUAAAAACUGUUAAUAAAUUCUGUUAUCUGUAUAAAAUUUCUAUUUUGCCCUUUCAAAUAUACCCUUCCACCAUCAUCAACUUUUCUUAUUUGCUCUUAAGUCAGGGGCACAAAAAGUAUUUUGACUUUUGAUCUUUUCAAAUAUACCCCUCUACCAUCAUUAAUAUUUCUUAUUUGUCCUUAAGUUAAGGGGCAAAAUUGGCAUUUUAAUUU
rnacentral:lncRNA from 1 species